UACGUAGGGGGCAAGCGUUAUCCGGAUUUACUGGGUGUAAAGGGGGCGCAGACGGCGAUGCAAGCCAGGAGUGAAAGCCCGGGGCCCAACCCCGGGACUGCUCUGGAACUGCGUGGCUGGAGUGCAGGAGGGGCAGGCGGAAUUCCUGGUGUAGCGGUGAAAUGCGUAGAUAUCAGGAGGGACACCGGUGGCGAAGGCGGCCUGCUGGACUGCAACUGACGUUGAGGCCCGAAAGCGUGGGGAGCAAACAGG
rnacentral:rRNA from 1 species